rnacentral:rRNA from 1 species
GACGAACGCUGGCGGCGUGCUUAACACAUGCAAGUCGAACGCUGAAGCUCAGCUUUUGUUGGGUGGAUGAGUGGCGAACGGGUGAGUAACACGUGAGUAACCUGCCCCCUUCUUUGGGAUAACGCCCGGAAACGGGUGCUAAUACUGGAUAUUCACUGGUCUUCGCAUGGGGGUUGGUGGAAAGGGUUUUUCUGGUGGGGGAUGGGCUCGCGGCCUAUCAGCUUGUUGGUGGGGUGAUGGCCUACCAAGGCUUUGACGGGUAGCCGGCCUGAGAGGGUGACCGGUCACAUUGGGACUGAGAUACGGCCCAGACUCCUACGGGAGGCAGCAGUGGGGAAUAUUGCACAAUGGGCGAAAGCCUGAUGCAGCGACGCCGCGUGAGGGAUGGAGGCCUUAGGGUUGUGAACCUCUUUCGCUCAUGGUCAAGCCGCAACAAUGGUUGUGGUGAGGGUAGUGGGUAAAGAAGCGCCGGCUAACUACGUG